UACGGGGGGAGCAAACGUUGUUCGGAAUCACUGGGCGUAAAGGGCGUGUAGGCGGCUGAAUAAGUGGGAUGUUAAAUCCCCCGGCUCAACCGGGGACCUGCAUCUCAUACUGUUCAGCUCGAGCACAUCAGAGGAGACUGGAAUUCCCGGUGUAGCGGUGAAAUGCGUAGAUAUCGUGAGGAACACCAGUGGCGAAGGCGAGUCUCUGGGAUGAUGCUGACGCUGAGGCGCGAAAGCCAGGGGAGCAAACGGG
rnacentral:rRNA from 1 species